GCACCUGGAAAUCAUUAGAUGCCUGGAGGUUACAUGUUCAUGAGCCCUCCCUUGAAAUUUAGACAUUAUCUGUUGUGUGUUUCCUUUGAGUAUCUGCUGGUAAAGUCCAAAGACAGAGAUCUGAGAAGGUGAAAAAUAAUUCUUUGUGUCUGACCAGAACUCUCUGCAGAGGUCUCCUGUUAGUUUCUGCUACCAUCUGUUCUUCUGUUUCAACAGCACAAAACAUCAAAUAGACCUUUUUUUUAAGCCAUUGCCAAUUUCACUGAAAGGAGUACAUAAAAGAAUCAGAACAGAAUAACUGAGAAAUUUACAAGAGGAAGAGUUGCAAAAUUAUGGAAAAGCUGUUAUGUUUGUUGACAACUUUAAAUUAAAGCUCAGAUAUGCCUUUCCAAUGAUUUGUGUAAGAGAAGAAUGAAAAAGGACUAAGUGAACUUGCUUGUGUGCAUGAAGAUCAAGGCCAGUAAAAAGUCGCUGUGCUGGUCAGAAAGCAGUCUUUAAUGGCAAGAUUUACUGGGAUUGUGAAAUCAUUUCCCUGAAGGAAGCUGCUACAACAGACCCAUUGCUUGCCCCAUUUAAACAGGGCUUUCAGAUGUGCUAGGGAGUCUUGUGUAGAGAGCAAUCCUGCUGGGGCCAUGAUGUGCUGGCAGCCCUAAUGCACCUUCCCUGUUCCUGGUUUCUGCUAACCUGCUACAGCCCUUUGUGUAGCCCAGUUGGUUUGGGAAUAAAUUUAGAGUACAAUUUCUUUUGUCCUAACUAGUCUGGCUGCUUUUUGUGAUCUUCCAUUUCAUUGCCUAAAGCUGCUUCAUUUUGUCAAUUGUGAUUCAUGGAUUUCUUUAGUGUCCUCAUGCUCCAUUGUUAAUGCAUCAAGAGAAUAUAUAGGCUUCCAGAACAGCUGGAAAAGAAUAGUUCAAUACUAUUUCAGUCUCUUAACAUUCCUUUGACAUUGUGAGAAUUAUGGAAAGAGCCUUCAGAUUCUUAUUUCUGUUGCCAGCAGAAAUACUACAAGACAGUUUAGACUGGAAUUGGGAAAGUUAUGAUUUGUGAUGCCACACUAUGCCAAAAGAGGUGGGAAACAGCAUUCACUGGCACCUGCAUUUGAUGCAAAAAUUGAAAAGGAAGAGACUGGGUCAUUAUGUGCAAACCGUUUGUAUUACAGCCUCAAGUAGCUG